CUAAAUGUUUGAUACCCUCGUAGCAUAGGCAUUAGAGCCACACGUUUAGUCUCCUCCUAUAUAUAUAUAUAUGUGGCAUAUAUAAUCACAUAAUAUAUACAAAUAUAGAUAAAAAAAAAUAUUUUUCUUACAGUCGUUGUUUGCGUAUGUAGCAUAAUCAAGAUUCACAUGAAAAGUUGCAAAUUGGUUAUAUAAUUAAUGAAAUUAAUGGCUGGCUACUUGAAACUCAUGAGAAUCUUGAUGAUGCUGCAUCUGCAAUAAACGACUAUUGCAAUCAGAGCGUUGGAACGAUACAGAAAAAAUUAGUACGGCAUGAAUCAAGAAAUGAUCUAUAUAUUUCUUAGAUCAGGAACUUCAGGUACUCAUGAAGGAGAGCAGAGCAGAGCAGAUUCGAGAUUUGAAAUUCAUGAAUUUUUACAAUAAUCUCAAAUUAAUUUGUAAUAUUAAUUGGAUUUACAAUUAAAUAUUUGAUAAAUUUUCAAAUA